UUCCAUCUCUUCUCCCCAACCCAACUCUCCUCUCCUUCUCUUUUGCGAGAUCUCUAGAUUCUAGGGUUUGGGAUCUAUAAUUUGUGGCUACGAUUUUUGGGAUUCGUGUCAUUUGAUCUGGAUUUUGAGAUGCUCCUAGAUUGGUUGAGAUUAGUUUGAUUUUGGAGCGUCCUGCUAAAUUAUUAGGGUCUUGGUUUUGUUUUUGAUGGAUUUGCUAUAUCGGGAGAUGUAUCAUUGGAUUGUUGAUGUUAGGGUGUAGGUGAUUUUAAUGGUAGAUCUUUCGAUUGGCUGUUAAUGAGCAUAGUAGAGAAAAUGAAUGGACGAUCUUUUCUUUUAAUUCGCUCUUUGUGAUUUGCUUUGUGCAAGGAAAGCUAAUGUUAUGCCUUAUAAGCCUCAAGCUAUUCUUAAGUAUUUCGAGGGAAAAAGGAAAAUUGAGUAUUUCUUUAUGCCAUGCAGACUAUAUUGCUUUAUCUUCUCAUCUUUGAUGCAUAAUAUAAGUUUUCACAAAACAUAUUCAUUUAUUCUUUUUUAUUUCUUACUUUUGGAAAGUGGUUUUUUAUCAAUUUUUAAUAUCAAACUAUAUUGCCGACAAGAAGUUACUCUUAUUGAUACUAAUUUUCCUUACCAGAUUUGGACUUUCUGUUCCACAUGUUUUUCCUUGCACGAUACUGCAAAAUACUUGAGGAAAACUCAUUCAGGGGACGGAUUGCGGAUUUUUUCUACAUGCUCUUAUUCGGUGCCACUGUUCUCACUGGGAGGAUGAUACCAUAUAUUUCUGAGACUUUUGCCAAAAUUUUUUUCCUUAGCAACUCAUUGACUUUCAUGAUGGUUAGUCAUCCUGUACAGCAUCUACCAUUCGCCCUAUUUAACCCUUGACGCAUGCUUCAGUCCAUGUGUGGAGCAAACAUAACCUUUCAUCCACAUGAGUUUCUUGGGCCUUUUUACCUUCACUGCAACUUAUCUACCAUGGGUGCUUCUUGGGUUCUCAAUUCUUGUUGGUAGCAGUACAUGGGUGGAUCUCUUGGUAAGCUACUUUUAAGGUCUGAGAUAGUUGUUACCUGUAAUCAUUGAGAAAAUUUUAUUUGACGACUUGGUAACAAAUAUGAAGUUAGAGACAGUUUGUCGAAAAUGAAGUAGAAGAUAUAACUGUCAAUAGGUUACUGAUUCGAACUAACUGUCUUAUUUGAAGGUGGGAAUUUUUUUUUUAGCUUGUUCAUAACUGCAGUUCUGGGACAAUAAUUGUAUGUAAAGUCUAGUAUUACUUGAUAAUGCAGCUAAAUGUAGUGAUUACACAUUCAAUUUAA